CGGGGGAAAGAUUUAUCGCCAAAGGAUCGGCCCGCGUUAGAUUAGCUUGUUGGUGAGGUAACGGCUCACCAAGGCGACGAUCUAUAGCUGGUCUGAGAGGAUGAUCAGCCACACUGGGACUGAGACACGGCCCAGACUCCUACGGGAGGCAGCAGUGGGGAAUCUUGGACAAUGGGCGCAAGCCUGAUCCAGCCAUGCCGCGUGAGUGAUGAAGGCCUUAGGGUCGUAAAGCUCUUUCGCCUGUGAAGAUAAUGACUGUAGCAGGUAAAGAAACCCCGGCUAACUCCGUGCCAGCAGCCGCGGUAAUACGGAGGGGGUUAGCGUUG
rnacentral:rRNA from 1 species